AAAUCACUGUCCAAAACCUUUGUAGGAACUCUUUUCCAACCUUUUGGAGUUAAUUAGAACAAAAAAUAUGAAAAAAUAAAAAAAUAUUAUUGGGGGUUUUCGGGCUCCCUGAAAGUAAUACCCGGGUAUUAGGUUUUGGGGCUAUGGUAAGGUUUAAGUUUUUUGGCGUUAGGGUUAAAAUCACUGUCCAAAACCUUUGUAGGAACUCUUUUCCAACCUUUUGGUGUUAGUUAGACCAAAAAAAAAUGAAAAAUGAAAAAACAAUAUUUGGGGUUUUCGGGGUUCCUGAAUGUAAUACCCGGGUAUUAGAUUUUGAGGCUAGGGUAAGGUUUAAGUUUUUUGGCAUUAGGGUUAAAAUCACUGUCCAAAACCUUUGUAGGAACUCUUUUCCAACCUUUUGGAGUUGGUUACACCAACAAAAAUGUAAAAUGAAGAAAAAAAUAUUUGGGGUGUUCAGGCUUCCUGAAGGUAAUACCCGGGUAUUAGAUUUCAAGGCUAGGGUAAGGUUUAAGGUUUUUGGCGUUAGGGUUAAAAUCACUGUCCAAAACCUUUGUAGGAACUCUUUUCCAACCUUUUGGAGUUAGUUAGACCAAAAAAUAUGAAAAAAGAAAAAAAUAUUAUUGGGGGUUUUUGGGCUCCCUGAAAGUAAUACCCAUGUAUUAGGUUUUGGGGCUAUGGUAAGGUUUAAGUUUUUUGGCGUUAGGGUUAAAAUCACUGUCCAAAACCUUUGUAGGAACUCUUUUCCAACCUUUUGGAGUUAGUUAGAACAAAAAAUAUGAAAAAAGAAAAAAAUAUUAUUGGGGGUUUUCGGGCUCCCUGAAAGUAAUACCCGGGUAUUAGGUUUUGGGGCUAUGGUAAGGUUUAAGUUUUUUGGCGUUAGGGUUAAAAUCACUGUCCAAAACCUUUGUAGGAACUCUUUUCCAACCUUUUGGAGUUAGUUAGACCAAAAAAAAUGAAAAAUGAAAAAAACAAUAUUUGGGGUUUUCGGGGUUCCUGAAUGUAAUACCCGGGUAUUAGAUUUUAAGGCUAGGGUAAGGUUUAAGUUUUUUGGCAUUAGGGUUAAAAUCACUGUCCAAAACCUUUGUAGGAACUCUUUUCCAACCUUUUGGAGUUAGUUAGACCAAAAAGUAUGAAAAAAGAAAAAAAUAUUAUUGGGGGUUUUCGGGCUCCCUGAAAGUAAUACCCGGGUAUUAGGUUUUGGGGCUAUGGUAAGGUUUAAGUUUUUUGGCGUUAGGGUUAAAAUCACUGUCCAAAACCUUUGUAGGAACUCUUUUCCAACCUUUUGGUGUUAGUUAGACCAAAAAAAAAUGAAAAAUUAAAAAACAAUAUUUGGGGUUUUCGGGGUUCCUGAAUGUAAUACCCGGGUAUUAGAUUUUGAGGCUAGGGUAAGGUUUAAGUUUUUUGGCAUUAGGGUUAAAAUCACUGUCCAAAACCUUUGUAGGAACUCUUUUCCAACCUUUUGGAGUUGGUUACACCAACAAAAAUGUAAAAUGAAGAAAAAAAUAUUUGGGGUGUUCAGGCUUCCUGAAGGUAAUACCCGGGUAUUAGAUUUCAAGGCUAGGGUAAGGUUUAAGGUUUUUGGCGUUAGGGUUAAAAUCACUGUCCAAAACCUUUGUAGGAACUCUUUUCCAACCUUUUGGAGUUAGUUAGACCAAAAAAUAUGAAAAAAGAAAAAAAUAUUAUUGGGGGUUUUUGGGCUCCCUGAAAGUAAUACCCAUGUAUUAGGUUUUGGGACUAGGGAAAGGUUUAAGGGUUUUGGCAUUAGGGUUAAAAUCACUGUCCAAAACCUUUGUAGGAACUCUUUUCCAACCUUUUGCAGUUAGUUAGACCAAAAAAAAAAGAAAAAUGAAAAAAAAAUAUUUGGGGUGUUCAGGCUUCCUAAAAGUAAUACCCGGGUAUUAGGUUAUGGGGCUAUGGUAAGGUUUAACGUUUUGGCGUUAGGUUUAAAAUCACUGUCCAAAACCUUUGUAGGAACUCUUUAACAACCUUUUGGAUUUAGUUAGACCAAAAAAAAAAAUGAAAAAUUAAAAAAAAUAUAUUUGGGGUGUUCAGGCUUCCUAAAAGUAAUACCCGGGUAUUAGGUUAUGGGGCUAUGGUAAGGUUUAAGGUUUUUGGCGUUAGGGUUAAAAUCACUGUCCAAAACCUUUGUAGGAACUCUUUUCAAACCUUUUGGAGUUAGUUAGACCAAAAAGUAUGAAAAAAGAAAAAAAUAUUAUUGGGGGUUUUCAGGCUCCCUGAAAGUAAUACCCGGGUAUUAGGUUUUGGGGCUAUGGUAAGGUUUAAGUUUUUUGGCGUUAGGGUUAAAAUCACUGUCCAAAACCUUUGUAGGAACUCUUUUCCAACCUUUUGGAGUUAGUUAGACCAAAAAAAAAUGAAAAAUGAAAAAACAAUAUUUGGGGUUUUCGGGGUUCCUGAAUGUAAUACCCGGGUAUUAGAUUUUAAGGCUAGGGUAAGGUUUAAGUUUUUUGGCAUUAGGGUUAAAAUCACUGUCCAAAACCUUUGUAGGAACUCUUUUCCAACCUUUUGGAGUUAGUUAGACCAAAAAAAAAAUGAAAAAUGAAAAAACAAUAUUUGGGGUUUUCGGGGUUCCUGAAUGUAAUAUACGGGUAUUAGAUUUUAAGGCUAGGGUAAGGUUUAAGUUUUUUGGCAUCAGGGUUAAAAUCACUGUCCAAAACCUUUGUAGGAACUCUUUUCCAACCUUUUGGAGUUAGUUACACCAAAAAGUAUGAAAAAGGAAAAAAAUAUUAUUGGGGGUUUUCGGGCUCCCUGAAAGUAAUACCCGGGUAUUAGGUUAUGGGGCUAUGGUAAGGUUUAAGUUUUUUGGCGUUAGGGUUAAAAUCACUGUCCAAAACCUUUGUAGGAACUCUUUUCCAACCUUUUGGAGUUGGUUACACCAACAAAAAUGUAAAAUGAAGAAAAAAAUAUUUGGGGUGUUCAGGCUUCCUGAAGGUAAUACCCGGGUAUUAGAUUUCAAGGCUAGGGUAAGGUUUAAGGUUUUUGGCGUUAGGGUUAAAAUCACUGUCCAAAACCUUUGUAGGAACUCUUUUCCAACCUUUUGGAGUUAGUUAGACCAAAAAAUAUGAAAAAAGAAAAAAAUAUUAUUGGGGGUUUUUGGGCUCCCUGAAAGUAAUACCCAUGUAAUAGGUUUUGGGGCUAUGGUAAGGUUUAAGUUUUUUGGCGUUAGGGUUAAAAUCACUGUCCAAAACCUUUGUAGGAACUCUUUUCCAACCUUUUGGAGUUAGUUAGAACAAAAAAUAUGAAAAAAGAAAAAAAUAUUAUUGGGGGUUUUCGGGCUCCCUGAAAGUAAUACCCGGGUAUUAGGUUUUGGGGCUAGGGUAAGGUUUAAGUUUUUUUGCGUUAGGGUUAAAAUCACUGUCCAAAACCUUUGUAGGAACUCUUUUCCAACCUUUUGGAGUUAGUUAGACCAAAAAAAAAUGAAAAAUGAAAAAAACAAUAUUUGGGGUUUUCGGGGUUCCUGAAUGUAAUACCCGGGUAUUAGAUUUUAAGGCUAGGGUAAGGUUUAAGUUUUUUGGCAUUAGGGUUAAAAUCACUGUCCAAAACCUUUGUAGGAACUCUUUUCCAACCUUUUGGAGUUAGUUAGACCAAAAAGUAUGAAAAAAGAAAAAAAUAUUAUUGGGGGUUUUCGGGCUCCCUGAAAGUAAUACCCGGGUAUUAGGUUUUGGGGCUAUGGUAAGGUUUAAGUUUUUUGGCGUUAGGGUUAAAAUCACUGUCCAAAACCUUUGUAGGAACUCUUUUCCAACCUUUUGGUGUUAGUUAGACCAAAAAAAAAUGAAAAACUAAAAAACAAUAUUUGGGGUUUUCGGGGUUCCUGAAUGUAAUACCCGGGUAUUAGAUUUUGAGGCUAGGGUAAGGUUUAAGUUUUUUGGCAUUAGGGUUAAAAUCACUGUCCAAAACCUUUGUAGGAACUCUUUUCCAACCUUUUGGAGUUAGUUAGACCAAAAAAAAAAUGAAAAAUGAAAAAACAAUAUUUGGGGUUUUCGGGGUUCCUGAAUGUAAUAUACGGGUAUUAGAUUUUAAGGCUAGGGUAAGGUUUAAGUUUUUUGGCAUCAGGGUUAAAAUCACUGUCCAAAACCUUUGUAGGAACUCUUUUCCAACCUUUUGGAGUUAGUUACACCAAAAAGUAUGAAAAAGGAAAAAAAUAUUAUUGGGGGUUUUCGGGCUCCCUGAAAGUAAUACCCGGGUAUUAGGUUAUGGGGCUAUGGUAAGGUUUAAGUUUUUUGGCGUUAGGGUUAAAAUCACUGUCCAAAACCUUUGUAGGAACUCUUUUCCAACCUUUUGGAGUUGGUUACACCAACAAAAAUGUAAAAUGAAGAAAAAAAUAUUUGGGGUGUUCAGGCUUCCUGAAGGUAAUACCCGGGUAUUAGAUUUCAAGGCUAGGGUAAGGUUUAAGGUUUUUGGCGUUAGGGUUAAAAUCACUGUCCAAAACCUUUGUAGGAACUCUUUUCCAACCUUUUGGAGUUAGUUAGACCAAAAAAUAUGAAAAAAGAAAAAAAUAUUAUUGGGGGUUUUUGGGCUCCCUGAAAGUAAUACCCAUGUAUUAGGUUUUGGGGCUAUGGUAAGGUUUAAGUUUUUUGGCGUUAGGGUUAAAAUCACUGUCCAAAACCUUUGUAGGAACUCUUUUCCAACCUUUUGGAGUUAGUUAGAACAAAAAAUAUGAAAAAAGAAAAAAAUAUUAUUGGGGGUUUUCGGGCUCCCUGAAAGUAAUACCCGGGUAUUAGGUUUUGGGGCUAUGGUAAGGUUUAAGUUUUUUGGCGUUAGGGUUAAAAUCACUGUCCAAAACCUUUGUAGGAACUCUUUUCCAACCUUUUGGAGUUAGUUAGACCAAAAAAAAAUGAAAAAUGAAAAAAACAAUAUUUGGGGUUUUCGGGGUUCCUGAAUGUAAUACCCGGGUAUUAGAUUUUAAGGCUAGGGUAAGGUUUAAGUUUUUUGGCAUUAGGGUUAAAAUCACUGUCCAAAACCUUUGUAGGAACUCUUUUCCAACCUUUUGGAGUUAGUUAGACCAAAAAGUAUGAAAAAAGAAAAAAAUAUUAUUGGGGGUUUUCGGGCUCCCUGAAAGUAAUACCCGGGUAUUAGGUUUUGGGGCUAUGGUAAGGUUUAAGUUUUUUGGCGUUAGGGUUAAAAUCACUGUCCAAAACCUUUGUAGGAACUCUUUUCCAACCUUUUGGUGUUAGUUAGACCAAAAAAAAAAUGAAAAAUUAAAAAACAAUAUUUGGGGUUUUCGGGGUUCCUGAAUGUAAUACCCGGGUAUUAGAUUUUGAGGCUAGGGUAAGGUUUAAGUUUUUUGGCAUUAGGGUUAAAAUCACUGUCCAAAACCUUUGUAGGAACUCUUUUCCAACCUUUUGGAGUUGGUUACACCAACAAAAAUGUAAAAUGAAGAAAAAAAUAUUUGGGGUGUUCAGGCUUCCUGAAGGUAAUACCCGGGUAUUAGAUUUCAAGGCUAGGGUAAGGUUUAAGGUUUUUGGCGUUAGGGUUAAAAUCACUGUCCAAAACCUUUGUAGGAACUCUUUUCCAACCUUUUGGAGUUAGUUAGACCAAAAAAUAUGAAAAAAAAAAAAAUAUUAUUGGGGGUUUUUGGGCUCCCUGAAAGUAAUACCCAUGUAUUAGGUUUUGGGACUAGGGAAAGGUUUAAGGGUUUUGGCAUUAGGGUUAAAAUCACUGUCCAAAACCUUUGUAGGAACUCUUUUCCAACCUUUUGGAGUUAGUUAGACCAAAAAAAAAAGAAAAAAGAAAAAAAUAUUAUUGGGGGUUUUUGGGCUCCCUGAAAGUAAUACCCAUGUAUUAGGUUUUGGGACUAGGGAAAGGUUUAAGGGUUUUGGCAUUAGGGUUAAAAUCACUGUCCAAAACCUUUGUAGGAACUCUUUUCCAACCUUUUGGAGUUAGUUAGACCAAAAAAAAAAGAAAAAUGAAAAAAAAAUAUUUGGGGUGUUCAGGCUUCCUAAAAGUAAUACCCGGGUAUUAGGUUAUGGGGCUAUGGUAAGGUUUAACGUUUUGGCGUUAGGUUUAAAAUCACUGUCCAAAACCUUUGUAGGAACUCUUUAACAACCUUUUGGAUUUAGUUAGACCAAAAAAAAUGAAAAAUUAAAAAAAAUAUAUUUGGGGUGUUCAGGCUUCCUAAAAGUAAUACCCGGGUAUUAGGUUAUGGGGCUAUGGUAAGGUUUAAGGUUUUUGGCGUUAGGGUUAAAAUCACUGUCCAAAACCUUUGUAGGAACUCUUUUCCAACCUUUUGGAGUUAGUUAGACCAAAAAGUAUGAAAAAAGAAAAAAAUAUUAUUGGGGGUUUUCGGGCUCCCUGAAAGUAAUACCCAUGUAUUAGGUUUUGGGGCUAUGGUAAGGUUUAAGUUUUUUGGCGUUAGGGUUAAAAUCACUGUCCAAAACCUUUGUAGGAACUCUUUUCCAACCUUUUGGAGUUAGUUAGACCAAAAAAAAAAGAAAAAUGAAAAAACAAUAUUUGGGGUUUUCGGGGUUCCUGAAUGUAAUACCCGGGUAUUAGAUUUUAAGGCUAGGGUAAGGUUUAAGUUUUUUGGCAUUAGGGUUAAAAUCACUGUCCAAAACCUUUGUAGGAACUCUUUUCCAACCUUUUGGAGUUAGUUAGACCAAAAAAAAAAUGAAAAAUGAAAAAACAGUAUUUGGGGUUUUCGGGGUUCCUGAAUGUAAUAUACGGGUAUUAGAUUUUAAGGCUAGGGUAAGGUUUAAGUUUUUUGGCAUCAGGGUUAAAAUCACUGUCCAAAACCUUUGUAGGAACUCUUUUCCAACCUUUUGGAGUUAGUUACACCAAAAAGUAUGAAAAAAGAAAAAAAUAUUAUUGGGGGUUUUCGGGCUCCCUGAAAGUAAUACCCGGGUAUUAGGUUAUGGGGCUAUGGUAAGGUUUAAGUUUUUUGGCGUUAGGGUUAAAAUCACUGUCCAAAACCUUUGUAGGAACUCUUUUCCAACCUUUUGGAGUUAGUUAGACCAAAAAAUAUGAAAAAAGAAAAAAAUAUUAUUGGGGGUUUUCGGGCUCCCUGAAAGUAAUACCCGGGUAUUAGGUUUUGGGGCUAUGGUAAGGUUUAAGUUUUUUGGCGUUAGGGUUAAAAUCACUGUCCAAAACCUUUGUAGGAACUCUUUUCCAACCUUUUGGAGUUAGUUAGACCAAAAAAUAUGAAAAAAGAAAAAAAUAUUAUUGGGGGUUUUUGGGCUCCCUGAAAGUAAUACCCAUGUAUUAGGUUUUGGGACUAGGGAAAGGUUUAAGGGUUUUGGCAUUAGGGUUAAAAUCACUGUCCAAAACCUUUGUAGGAACUCUUUUCCAACCUUUUGGAGUUAGUUAGACCAAAAAAAAAAGAAAAAUGAAAAAACAAUAUUUGGGGUGUUCAGGCUUCCUAAAUUAAUACUCGGGUAUUAGGUUAUGGGGCUAUGGUAAGGUUUAACGUUUUGGCGUUAGGUUUAAAAUCACUGUCCAAAACCUUUGUAGGAACUCUUUAACAACCUUUUGGAUUUAGUUAGACCAAAAAAAAAUGAAAAAUUAAAAAAAAUAUAUUUGGGGUGUUCAGGCUUCCUAAAAGUAAUACCCGGGUAUUAGGUUAUGGGGCUAUGGUAAGGUUUAAGGUUUUUGGCGUUAGGGUUAAAAUCACUGUCCAAAACCUUUGUAGGAACUCUUUUCCAACCUUUUGGAGUUAGUUAGACCAAAAAGUAUGAAAAAAGAAAAAAAUAUUAUUGGGGGUUUUCGGGCUCCCUGAAAGUAAUACCCGGGUAUUAGGUUUUGGGGCUAUGGUAAGGUUUAAGUUUUUUGGCGUUAGGGUUAAAAUCACUGUCCAAAACCUUUGUAGGAACUCUUUUCCAACCUUUUGGAGUUAGUUAGACCAAAAAAAAAUGAAAAAUGAAAAAACAAUAUUUGGGGUUUUCGGGGUUCCUGAAUGUAAUACCCGGGUAUUAGAUUUUAAGGCUAGGGUAAGGUUUAAGUUUUUUGGCAUUAGGGUUAAAAUCACUGUCCAAAACCUUUGUAGGAACUCUUUUCCAACCUUUUGGAGUUAGUUAGACCAAAAAAAAAAUGAAAAAUGAAAAAACAAUAUUUGGGGUUUUCGGGGUUCCUGAAUGUAAUAUACGGGUAUUAGAUUUUAAGGCUAGGGUAAGGUUUAAGUUUUUUGGCAUCAGGGUUAAAAUCACUGUCCAAAACCUUUGUAGGAACUCUUUUCCAACCUUUUGGAGUUAGUUAGACCAAAAAAUAUGAAAAAAGAAAAAAAUAUUAUUGGGGGUUUUCGGGCUCCCUGAAAGUAAUACCCGGGUAUUAGGUUUUGGGGCUAUGGUAAGGUUUAAGUUUUUUGGCGUUAGGGUUAAAAUCACUGUCCAAAACCUUUGUAGGAACUCUUUUCCAACCUUUUGGAGUUAGUUAGACCAAAAAAAAAAAGAAAAAUGAAAAAAAAAUAUUUGGGGUGUUCAGGCUUCCUAAAAGUAAUACCCGGGUAUUAGGUUAUGGGGCUAUGGUAAGGUUUAACGUUUUGGCGUUAGGGUUAAAAUCACUGUCCAAAACCUUUGUAGGAACUCUUUUCCAACCUUUUGGAGUUAGUUAGACCAAAAAAUAUGAAAAAAGAAAAAAAUAUUAUUGGGGGUUUUCGGGCUCCCUGAAAGUAAUACCCGGGUAUUAGGUUUUGGGGCUAUGGUAAGGUUUAAGUUUUUUGGCGUUAGGGUUAAAAUCACUGUCCAAAACCUUUGUAGGAACUCUUUUCCAACCUUUUGGAGUUAGUUAGACCAAAAAAUAUGAAAAAAGAAAAAAAUAUUAUUGGGGGUUUUCUGGCUCCCUGAAAGUAAUACCCGGGUAUUAGGUUUUGGGGCUAUGGUAAGGUUUAAGUUUUUUGGCGUUAGGGUUAAAAUCACUGUCCAAAACCUUUGUAGGAACUCUUUUCCAACCUUUUGGAGUUAGUUAGACCAAAAAAAAAAGAAAAAUGAAAAAAAAAUAUUUGGGGUGUUCAGGCUUCCUAAAAGUAAUACCCGGGUAUUAGGUUAUGGGGCUAUGGUAAGGUUUAACGUUUUGGCGUUAGGGUUAAAAUCACUGUCCAAAACCUUUGUAGGAACUCUUUUCCAACCUUUUGGAGUUAGUUAGACCAAAAAAUAUGAAAAAAGAAAAAAAUAUUAUUGGCGGUUUUCGGGCUCCCUGAAAGUAAUACCCGGGUAUUAGGUUUUGGGGCUAUGGUAAGGUUUAAGUUUUUUGGCGUUAGGGUUAAAAUCACUGUCCAAAACCUUUGUAGGAACUCUUUUCCAACCUUUUGGAGUUAGUUAGACCAAAAAAUAUGAAAAAAGAAAAAAAAAUAUUAUUGGGGGUUUUCGGGCUCCCUGAAAGUAAUACCCGGGUAUUAGGUUUUGGGGCUAUGGUAAGGUUUAAGUUUUUUGGCGUUAGGGUUAAAAUCACUGUCCAAAACCUUUGUAGGAACUCUUUUCCAACCUUUUGGAGUUAGUUAGACCAAAAAAAAAAGAAAAAUGAAAAAAAAAAUAUUUGGGGUGUUCAGGCUUCCUAAAAGUAAUACCCGGGUAUUAGGUUAUGGGGCUAUGGUAAGGUUUAACGUUUUGGCGUUAGGUUUAAAAUCACUGUCCAAAACCUUUGUAGGAACUCUUUUCCAACCUUUUGGAGUUAGUUAGACCAAAAAAUAUGAAAAAAGAAAAAAAUAUUAUUGGGGGUUUUCGGGCUCCCUGAAAGUAAUACCCGGGUAUUAGGUUUUGGGGCUAUGGUAAGGUUUAAGUUUUUUGGCGUUAGGGUUAAAAUCACUGUCCAAAACCUUUGUAGGAACUCUUUUCCAACCUUUUGGAGUUAGUUAGAACAAAAAAUAUGAAAAAAGAAAAAAAUAUUAUUGGGGGUUUUCGGGCUCCCUGAAAGUAAUACCCGGGUAUUAGGUUUUGGGGCUAUGGUAAGGUUUAAGUUUUUUGGCGUUAGGGUUAAAAUCACUGUCCAAAACCUUUGUAGGAACUCUUUUCCAACCUUUUGGAGUUAGUUAGACCAAAAAAAAAUGAAAAAUGAAAAAACAAUAUUUGGGGUUUUCGGGGUUCCUGAAUGUAAUACCCGGGUAUUAGAUUUUAAGGCUAGGGUAAGGUUUAAGUUUUUUGGCAUUAGGGUUAAAAUCACUGUCCAAAACUUUUGUAGGAACUCUUUUCCAACCUUUUGGAGUUAGUUAGACCAAAAAGUAUGAAAAAAGAAAAAAAUAUUAUUGGGGAGUUCAGGCUCCCUGAAAGUAAUACCCGGGUAUUAGGUUUUGGGGCUAUGGUAAGGUUUAAGUUUUUUGGCGUUAGGGUUAAAAUCACUGUCCAAAACCUUUGUAGGAACUCUUUUCCAACCUUUUGGUGUUAGUUAGACCAAAAAAAAUGAAAAAUUAAAAAACAAUAUUUGGGGUUUUCGGGGUUCCUGAAUGUAAUACCCGGGUAUUAGAUUUUGAGGCUAGGGUAAGGUUUAAGUUUUUUGGCAUUAGGGUUAAAAUCACUGUCCAAAACCUUUGCAGGAACUCUUUUCCAACCUUUUGGAGUUGGUUACACCAACAAAAAUGUAAAAUGAAGAAAAAAAUAUUUGGGGUGUUCAGGCUUCCUGAAGGUAAUACCCGGGUAUUAGAUUUCAAGACUAGGGUAAGGUUUAAGGUUUUUGGCGUUAGGGUUAAAAUCACUGUCCAAAACCUUUGUAGGAACUCUUUUCCAACCUUUUGGAGUUAGUUAGACCAAAAAAUAUGAAAAAAGAAAAAAAUAUUAUUGGGGGUUUUUGGGCUCCCUGAAAGUAAUACCCAUGUAUUAGGUUUUGGGACUAGGGAAAGGUUUAAGGGUUUUGGCAUUAGGGUUAAAAUCACUGUCCAAAACCUUUGUAGGAACUCUUUUCCAACCUUUUGGAGUUAGUUAGACCAAAAAAAAAAGAAAAAUGAAAAAAAAAUAUUUGGGGUGUUCAGGCUUCCUAAAAGUAAUACCCGGGUAUUAGGUUACGGGGCUAUGGUAAGGUUUAACGUUUUGGCGUUAGGUUUAAAAUCACUGUCCAAAACCUUUGUAGGAACUCUUUAACAACCUUUUGGAUUUAGUUAGACCAAAAAAAAAUGAAAAAUUAAAAAAAAUAUAUUUGGGGUGUUCAGGCUUCCUAAAAGUAAUACCCGGGUAUUAGGUUAUGGGGCUAUGGUAAGGUUUAAGGUUUUUGGCGUUAGGGUUAAAAUCACUGUCCAAAACCUUUGUAGGAACUCUUUUCCAACCUUUUGGAGUUAGUUAGACCAAAAAGUAUGAAAAAAGAAAAAAAUAUUAUUGGGGGUUUUCGGGCUCCCUGAAAGUAAUACCCGGGUAUUAGGUUUUGGGGCUAUGGUAAGGUUUAAGUUUUUUGGCGUUAGGGUUAAAAUCACUGUCCAAAACCUUUGUAGGAACUCUUUUCCAACCUUUUGGAGUUAGUUAGACCAAAAAAAAAAUGAAAAAUGAAAAAACAAUAUUUGGGGUUUUCGGGGUUCCUGAAUGUAAUACCCGGGUAUUAGAUUUUAAGGCUAGGGUAAGGUUUAAGUUUUUUGGCAUUAGGGUUAAAAUCACUGUCCAAAACCUUUGUAGGAACUCUUUUCCAACCUUUUGGAGUUAGUUAGACCAAAAAAAAAUGAAAAAUGAAAAAACAAUAUUUGGGGUUUUCGGGGUUCCUGAAUGUAAUAUACGGGUAUUAGAUUUUAAGGCUAGGGUAAGGUUUAAGUUUUUUGGCAUCAGGGUUAAAAUCACUGUCCAAAACCUUUGUAGGAACUCUUUUCCAACCUUUUGGAGUUAGUUACACCAAAAAGUAUGAAAAAAGAAAAAAAUAUUAUUGGGGGUUUUCGGGCUCCCUGAAAGUAAUACCCGGGUAUUAGGUUAUGGGGCUAUGGUAAGGUUUAAGUUUUUUGGCGUUAGGGUUAAAAUCACUGUCCAAAACCUUUGUAGGAACUCUUUUCCAACCUUUUGGAGUUAGUUAGACCAAAAAAUAUGAAAAAAGAAAAAAAUAUUAUUGGGGGUUUUCGGGCUCCCUGAAAGUAAUACCCGGGUAUUAGGUUUUGGGGCUAUGGUAAGGUUUAAGUUUUUUGGCGUUAGGGUUAAAAUCACUGUCCAAAACCUUUGUAGGAACUCUUUUCCAACCUUUUGGAGUUAGUUAGACCAAAAAAAAAAAAGAAAAAUGAAAAAAAAAUAUUUGGGGUGUUCAGGCUUCCUAAAAGUAAUACCCGGGUAUUAGAUUAUGGGGCUAUGGUAAGGUUUAACGUUUUGGCGUUAGGUUUAAAAUCACUGUCCAAAACCUUUGUAGGAACUCUUUUCCAACCUUUUGGAUUUAGUUAGACCAAAAAAAAAUGAAAAAUUAAAAAAAAUAUAUUUGGGGUGUUCAGGCUUCCUAAAAGUAAUACCCGGGUAUUAGGUUAUGGGGCUAUGGUAAGGUUUAAGGUUUUUGGCGUUAGGGUUAAAAUCACUGUCCAAAACCUUUGUAGGAACUCUUUUCCAACCUUUUGGAGUUAGUUAGACCAAAAAGUAUGAAAAAAGAAAAAAAUAUUAUUGGGGGUUUUCGGGCUCCCUGAAAGUAAUACCCGGGUAUUAGGUUUUGGGGCUAUGGUAAGGUUUAAGUUUUUUGGCGUUAGGGUUAAAAUCACUGUCCAAAACCUUUGUAGGAACUCUUUUCCAACCUUUUGGAGUUAGUUAGACCAAAAAAAAAAAGAAAAAUGAAAAAAAAAUAUUUGGGGUGUUCAGGCUUCCUAAAAGUAAUACGUAUUAGGUUAUGGGGCUAUGGUAAGGUUUAACGUUUUGGCGUUAGGUUUAAAAUCACUGUCCAAAACCUUUGUAGGAACUCUUUUUCAACCUUUUGGAGUUAGUUAGACCAAAAAUUAGAUUUUAAGGCUAGGGUAAGGUUUAAGUUUUUUGGCAUUAGGGUUAAAAUCACUGUCCAAAACCUUUGUAGGAACUCUUUUCCAACCUUUUGGAGUUAGUUAGACCAAAAAGUAUGAAAAAAGAAAAAAAUAUUAUUGGGGGUUUUCGGGCUCCCUGAAAGUAAUAGUAUUAGGUUUUGGGGCUAUGGUAAGGUUUAAGUUUUUUGGC